rnacentral:ncRNA from 1 species
GAUGGAAUAUUGUAGGCAAGGGAAGUCAACAAAAUGGAUCCGCAACUUCGGGAAAAGGAUUGGCUCUAAGGGCUGUACAUGGGGGUUUCAGCCCUAAACCCAUCGGAUGUCGGUGGACUGCUUGAGCAGCUUCUGUGGCGAGAUCGGAUCAUCACGUGUCGUCCAGGGAACAGACUGGGAACGGUUCUUUUGUGUUGAAUAGCCAACUCAAAACUGGUACGGACAAGGGGAAUUCGACUGUUUAAUUAAAAAAAAGAAUUGCAAUGGCCCCAAUAUAUAUUCAUGCAAUGUGAGUUUUUCCUAGUGUUCUAAAUGUCAAAGUGAAGAAAUGCAACCAAGCGCGGUAAACAGUAAGAGUAACUAUGAAUCUCUUAAGGUAGCCAAAUUCCUUGUCAUCUAAUUAGUCACGUACAUGAAUGGAUUAAUGAGAUUCCCACUAUCCCUAUCUACUAUCCAGCAAAACCACAGCAAAGGGAAUGGUCUUAGCUAAGUCAAUGGGGAAAAAAGACCUUUUUGAACUUCACUCUAGUUCGACUUUGUGAAAUGACUUGAGAGGUAUAGUAUAAGUGGGAUACAAAAGGCAAAAUUUAAAUACCAUUACUUUUAACGUUAUUUUACUUAUUUUGUGAAUUGGAAGUGGGGCACUGCCCUUCUUUUUAAACCCAAGGCUAGCUCUGCAGGUCGAUCCGAGUGGAAGACAUUGUCAAGUGAGGUGUUUGGUUGGGGCGGCACAUCUUCUAAAAGAUAACGUAGGUGUCCUAAGAUCUGCUCAACAAGAACAUAAAUAUCGUAUGGAACAGAAGGGUAAAAACUUAUUUGAUUCUGAUUUAUAGUAUGAAUACAAACUGUAAAAGCGUGGCCUAACAAUUCUUUAGACCUUCAGAAUUCGAAGCAAGAGGUGUCAGAAAAAUUACCACCAGGAUAACUGGCUUAUGACAGUCAAGUGCUAAUAGUGACGUUGCUUUUUGAUCCUUCGAUGUUGGCUCUUUCUAUCAUUGUGAAGCAUAAUUCACCAAGUGUUGGAUCGUUCACCCACUAAUAGGGAAUGUAAGAUGGGUUCAGACCAUCGUUAGACAAUUUAGUUUUACCCUACUGAUGAUUGUGACACAAUUGUAAUUCAACCUAGUAUGAGAGAAACAAUUGAUUCAAAUAAUUGGGCAUCGCGCUUGGUUGAAAAGCCAAUGGCGUGAAGCUACUACGUGCUGGAUUAUGGCUGAAUGAAGUCAGAAUCUGGGCUAAGCGAUGCAUAUGCCUGCCAUUUACUUGACGAGCCGCAGUAGGGAUCUCGGCCCCCAAGGGCACAUGUCAUUGGCUAAGACAUCAUAGCGAAAGGGUCACGGUGGCCUCCUUGAAGUACAAUUUUAUCGAGUGGUGGCUAGAAUCCUUUGCAGAUAACUUAAAUAUGCGACAGGGUUUUCUAAGUGGUAGAAUGGCCUUGUGUAAGGACCCACAAAAUUUCUUAGCUUAAUUC